rnacentral:rRNA from 1 species
AGCUCGUAGUUGAAUUUCGGGAUUGACGUGACGGUCGUGCCUUACGGGGUAUGAACUGUUGCUGUUGAUUUCUCACCUUCUGGAGAAACUUGAUGUCCUUAAUUGGGUGUCUUGUGGAUCCAGGACCUUUACCUUGAAAAAAUUAGAGUGUUUAAAGCAGGCAUUUUUGCUCGAAUACAUUAGCAUGGAAUAAUAGAAUAGGACGGCAUGGUUCUAUUUUGUUGGUUUCUAGGAUCACCGUAAUGAUUAAUAGGGAUAGUUGGGGGCAUUAGUAUUCAAUUGUCAGAGGUGAAAUUCUUGGAUUUAUUGAAGACUAACUACUGCGAAAGCAUUUGCCAAGGAUGUUUUCAUUAAUCAAGAACGAAAGUUAGGGGAUCGAAGACGAUCAGAUACCGUCGUAGUCUUAACCAUAAACUAUGCCGACUAGGAAUCAGACGAUGUUAAUUUUUUAAUGACUCGUUCGGCACCU